GAGACUCCACCUAGCCAGGGUGGUGGGGGAGGGGUCUCCAAGAAGCCCCUGCUUUGCACUCAGCUCCAGCUCCCUGUCCUGCGUCCUCUGGAAGCCCUGCCUUCUGGGAAGGCAGGAAGACUGGGAGGAGACAGAGAUGAGCUGGGGAGGGCCUGCCCCCAGGGGUGCACCUGGUCCAGCCUGGCCACUGAGCUCCUAAGGAGCAGAGGAAGGCUGGAAGCUCCCCAGCGAUAGAAGGAGCUCAUUAGCCAGGGGAGCCGCCAUCGCUGGAGCCAACGUUUUCAUCAGAAACCCUUCCAUCAGGAAGCAGACAUGGAUACGGAAGCACUAAGAAAUGUGAAAAUGUCUCAGACCCAACUCCAAAAUGAAGAGAACAUUUAUGACAUUCCAAGAUCCAUCAAGCUACAGCCUGUGUAUAAUUCUGGCAUUGCCCACCAAGUUUUAACUAACAGAAACUCAGACUCAUUUACUGAAAUGCAACUGACACCACUUUGUCCCAAUGGCAAUUCACAAUCUUUUGACCCUUCUAAAAUCAAACCAAAAAGGACCUUUGAGGGAGAAAAAUGUUCCAUAUCCCCUGAAGCACCAGGGAAGAAUGUCUCCCCUCCAGAAUAUUCUUUGAAGUACCCCCUGGUUGCUGACAAUGCCCAGUCACACCCAAAGAUGACCAAAUCAGAGGAGGUAAAGCUGAAAAAUCAUGUUAGGAACACUCUGGACCAUUGGGAGAAAAUGGUGACUCAAUACAGUGGGGCAGAGGCUGCAACAGCAUCCCUUGCAAAGUAUUCAAGCAGAUCCCUCCCUCACAGAGGCCAAAAAAGUGUUUUAGGCACCACCCCACAAAGCCAAAUGACAAAACCUAGAAGAAAUCCAAAGUGGACACUUCCUUCCCAGAAACACAUGAUCAUCCAUGGACUAAUAGUUGCCUCUUUCAAGGAAUCUUCUGAAAUCUCUUCUCCUUCCAGUGACAGGAGCCCAAGGUCAACACUUACCUCUUUCAAAGAGACUUCUGAGAUUCUUUCUUCCUCUGAAGACAGAAGUUCAGGAACAGCACUGGCAUCUUUCAAAGAGACAUCUGAGAUUCCUUCGUUAUCCAAUGACAAAAGCUCAGGCGCAAAACCAGUACCUUUUAAAAAGUCAUCUGAGAUUUCUUCUUCAUCCAGACAUAGACCAAAGAAAAUACGAGUGUCUUCCAAAGAGUCUUCUGAGAUUCUUUAUUCAUCCAGGGACGGGAGGUCAGGGAAAACUCUGGCUACUUUCAAAGAGUCCUCUGAGAUUCCUUCAUCAUCUAGGGAUGAGAAAACAGGGAAAAUAAUGGCUAGUUCCAGAGAGUUCUGUGAGAUUCCUUCUUCAUCUAGGGACAGGAGACUGUCAUCUCUCAAAGCAUACUCUGAGAUUCCUUCUUCACAAAGUGACAGAAGUCAGGAAUAACACUGGUACCAUUUAGAGAAUCUU
rnacentral:lncRNA from 1 species